CCGAGUCUUAAUUGGGCGUUAAGUUGCAGGGUAUAGACCCGAAACCCGGUGAUCUAGCCAUGGGCAGGUUGAAGGUUGGGUAACACUAACUGGAGGACCGAACCGACUAAUGUUGAAAAAUUAGCGGAUGACCUGUGGCUGGGGGUGAAAGGCCAAUCAAACCGGGAGAUAGCUGGUUCUCCCCGAAAGCUAUUUAGGUAGCGCCUCGUGAAUUCAUCUCCGGGGGUAGAGCACUGUUUCGGCUAGGGGGCCAUCCCGGCUUACCAACCCGAUGCAAACUGCGAAUACCGGAGAAUGUUAUCACGGGAGACACACGGCGGGUGCUAACGUCCGUCGUGAAGAGGGAAACAACCCAGACCGCCAGCUAAGGUCCCAAAGUCAUGGUUAAGUGGGAAACGAUGUGGGAAGGCCCAGACAGCCAGGAUGUUGGCUUAGAAGCAGCCAUCAUUUAAAGAAAGCGUAAUAGCUCACUGGUCGAGUCGGCCUGCGCGGAAGAUGUAACGGGGCUAAACCAUGCACCGAAGCUGCGGCAGCGACGCUUAUGCGUUGUUGGGUAGGGGAGCGUUCUGUAAGCCUGUGAAGGUGUGUCGUGAGGCAUGCUGGAGGUAUCAGAAGUGCGAAUGCUGACAUAAGUAACGAUAAAGCGGGUGAAAAGCCCGCUCGCCGGAAGACCAAGGGUUCCUGUCCAACGUUAAUCGGGGCAGGGUGAGUCGACCCCUAAGGCGAGGCCGAAAGGCGUAGUCGAUGGGAAACGGGUUAAUAUUCCCGUACUUGGUGUUACUGCGAAGGGGGGACGGAGAAGGCUAUGUUGGCCGGGCGACGGUUGUCCCGGUUUAAGCGUGUAGGUGUGUGUUCCAGGUAAAUCCGGUU
rnacentral:rRNA from 1 species